GUGGGGAAUAUUGGACAAUGGGCGAAAGCCUGAUCCAGCCAUGCCGCGUGUGUGAAGAAGGUCUUCGGAUUGUAAAGCACUUUAAGUUGGGAGGAAGGGCAGUAAGUUAAUACCUUGCUGUUUUGACGUUACCGACAGAAUAAGCACCGACUAACUUCGUGCCAGCAGCCGCGGUAAUACGAAGGGUGCAAGUGUUAAGCGGAAUUACUGGGCGUAAAGCGCGCGUAGGUGGUUUUGUAAGUUGGAGGUGAAAUCCCCGGGCUCAACCUGGGAACUGCCUCCAAAACUGCAUGACUAGAGUACGGUAGAGGGUAGUGGAAUUUCCUGUGUAGCGGUGAAAUGCGUAGAUAUAGGAAGGAACACCAGUGGCGAAGGCGACUACCUGGACUGAUACUGACACUGAGGUGCGAAAGCGUGGGGAGCAAACAGGAUUAGAAACCCCUGUAGUCC
rnacentral:rRNA from 1 species